rnacentral:lncRNA from 1 species
UCCUAACUGAUGUAGAGAUUCAGCAACGCUAUGCAUUACUUGAGACCUCAAAUGCUAUCAUGCACUGAGCAAUUUGUAGGUGAGCUUUGCUCUAAGUCUGCUGGUGUAACAUCUUGAGUUCUUGACAUCGGCACAUUGGCCCAUAUGACUGGCACUUUAGACCACCUCUCGGACUUGCAAGAUGUUCCAUAUGGUUUUUUUGUUCAUGAUCUUAAUGGAAAGAUACUGCAUGCUCGAAAAUUGGACGCAUCAAACUUGGCCUUAAUCUCUUCCUUAAAGAUGUUUUAUAUAUUCUAGAGUGUCAUUGCUAUCCAUUUGACAAUUGAGUCGUGAUUUACAUUGUUGUGUAACAUUCUUUUCCAAUGUAUGCAUCUUGCAGGACCUAGCUUCGAAGAGAUCGAUUGGAGUAGGUGAGUUGCGGAAUAGGGUUUAUCACUUAAGGCAUGUGUUGCAAUCAUCAGCCUUCGCAGCAAUUCAUGGUGUUGAUGAAUCAGAGAUUUGGCACAUAUGAUGUCACGCCUGGGGCCUAUUUUGUAAGCAUUUCUCAAAAAAAGGGACCAGUCUGAAAAUAGAGUCAACAGACAGUGCUCUUUUUUUUUCAAAAGAUAACCUUGCCUAUAGGAUGGAACAAACCCGCAACAAACACAGGGACUCCUCUGUUCACAUGGAUAAAGUUUCUUCUAUAUUUGCAUGACGUACCACUACAAGAAAUUACCACAACGCACAUAUACACUCAUAGAACUCAGCAAUCACAAUAAAGAUGCUCAUUAUAUUCCAAAACUACCAAUCAAUAAUAAACAAGCAUUCAGAUAACUAAAUCAUAAUUUGUCUACUUAUUCACAAUAACCAUAAAGGAAAGGAUAGAACAAACCAAGUUCAGUGGAUGGAAAUAUACGAGAACUCUAGGCUCACUAUCUAUGAUGCGUCUCAUGCACCAUCCUGAUCCUCACCGCCAAGAUCACCUAAAAUGAGGGGGUGAGAAACCAAUAAGAUGUCUCCUAGUGGAAACCAUAAGCGAACGGUGGCAAGUGUACUCACUGGCAACCAAGAGAUAUAAUAGCAUAAUAUGAAAUAUACAGUAGCAAGUAUGAACUAAAAAGAAAUAAGUACAAGUAUGCAACUGCUACUACUGUAAAAGUAAGAACAUGCGUCAACGCGACGAAUAGUCCAAAAAUAUCCAAUCCAUCCGUGAUGUCGGUCUAAAGACCUUAAAUAAUGCCACGUCUUCUCUACCUGGCAUAUGAUACUAAUAAUAGACCACUUAGUGUUCACGGAUUGGAAAUAAGACAACUUUUUCGAAAAAAACACCGAUGCGAUGGCAAAACAACGGAUGUACAUGAAAUGCACACGAGCUAUGGCGAUCGAUACAAUAUGAUCAAUAGCCAUCCGUCAGCAAAUAGCCGAAAUAUACCAACCAACUAGACCACCCAAUCUCAUAAAUCUCACAACAAGCCGACCACUCAGGUCCAUUCCGUGAUACGUCAUGUAUAGUCAUCAUAUAGUACCGCUCUACUAGUGAGUCACAAUGAACAUAAAUGAAAGCAAAAGUAGAAUAAUAGAAAGUAAAGUCAUGUGGUGAAGUCCUCAACAUGCAACGUGUGUAUAUAAACAGGUGAAGGGAGAAGGGAAAUAAUAUCACUGAGCUAGCACCACAAUACCGAUAUCGGAAAGAGUACCCACCUAUAACGAAAAAUGCACCUAACACUCAAUGUGCACCAAAUCGUCAACCAGACGUACGAAAGUUCCAAAAGUCAAGAUCUAACCCUAAGUGACCCAAAAUCAUUAAUACACAUCCCAAUAAUCACCAGAAAAUUGAAUCUUUUAUCGAUUCUCGAUACCCACCGAAAUCUUUUGGAAUCCACCAGAACACUUCCGAAAUUCCCGAAGUGCCCCGAAAGGUACCAACUCACCCCGUAAACCACCUGUUGAUCCAAAUCACACCAACUUGGGUGCCUGGGCAGCAAACACAUAAUGUUGUGCCAUUAAUUGCAUUUAAUAAUAAUAACAUCGUACCGGGUUCCCAGAUAUGCCAAUUUUUGCUCCGGAACUCUCUGCUGCUUACUCAAUAUCUCCGGGCAGGCACCAGCAAGAACAACCAACUAACAUGGCUCGGGGACAAGGCACAGGGCGUUCACGUAAAAAUCCAAACCAAAAAUACAUUCUUCCGACGAUUUUGCCAAAAAAUGCAACAAAAUCCUAAUUUAAGCAUGUAAAGGCCACUGACUCUUGGACGAUCAGUCCAAGGUCCCACACUACAAUUUCACACUGCCCGAGGCAAUCCCACAACAUCAUAGUCGUAGUAAAGCCCCUAACUUUAUUUCUAUUAACAAAUAUUAUAUAGAAACUAGAAUUUUUGAGCUGUUACCAGAUUCUGCGAGGAUCAGGGACCAAGCAGUAGUGUCGGCUGAUAGGUCUCGAUGCGCCGAAGUUCAUGCUCGCUGUCUAGAACGCAAAUAGAGACCGAGGAAAGCGAGAGGGCUACAUGCACGAAAAUUCUCUGGGUUAUCGGGAGCAAUAAAGCCAAAACCAUGACACAAGGCCUCUUUGGCAGCAACGAAUGUGAGCAUAGGGGUCAGCGACACCUCAGGGAAAUCGUGCUCACCUUCAGAGAGGCCACCGACACAUUAGAUGGCUAGAACUACGAAGUUGUCCAAAAGAUGCCCUAACUCGAACUAGGGCUGGAGCUGACCUUCUCCUGAGCUCCGUCAACCAAGCAGCACACGCGCCAAUACGAGAAGGGUCGUGCUCGAUAGGAGCAGGUCGAAGGAGG